rnacentral:rRNA from 1 species
UACGUAGGGGGCUAGCGUUGUCCGGAAUCAUUGGGCGUAAAGAGCGUGUAGGCGGUCCGGUAAGUCCGCUGUGAAAGUCGGGGGCUCAACCCUCGAAUGCCGGUGGAUACUGUCGGGCUAGAGUCCGGAAGAGGCGAGUGGAAUUCCUGGUGUAGCGGUGAAAUGCGCAGAUAUCAGGAGGAACACCAAUGGCGAAGGCAGCUCGCUGGGACGGUACUGACGCUGAGGCGCGAAAGCGUGGGGAGCAAACAGG